AUCCUACGGGGCGCAGCAGUGAGGAAUAUUGGUCAAUGGCCGCAGGGCUGAACCAGCCAAGUCGCGUGAGGGAUGACGGUCCUAUGGAUUGUAAACCUCUUUUGUCAGGGAGCAAAGGGCGCCACGUGUGGCGUUUUGCGAGUACCUGAAGAAAAAGCAUCGGCUAACUCCGUGCCAGCAGCCGCGGUAAUACGUAGGUGACAAGCGUUGUCCGGAUUUACUGGGUGUAAAGGGCGCGUAGGCGGGAUAGCAAGUCAGUCGUGAAAUGCCGGGGCUUAACCUCGGAGCUGCGAUUGAAACUGUUA
rnacentral:rRNA from 1 species